AUUGAACGCUGGCGGCAGGCCUAACACAUGCAAGUCGAGCGAGCGGCGGACGGGUGAGUAAUGUCUGGGAAACUGCCUGAUGGAGGGGGAUAACUACUGGAAACGGUAGCUAAUACCGCAUACCAUCAGAUGUGCCCAGAUGGGAUUAGCUGGUAGGUGGGGUAACGGCUCACCUAGGCGACGAUCCCUAGCUGGUCUGAGAGGAUGACCAGGCACACUGGAACUGAGACACGGACCAGACUACUACGGGAGGCAGCAGUGGGGAAUAGUGCACAAUUGGCUCAAGCCUGAUGCAGCCAUGCCGCGUGUAUGAAGAAGGCCUUGGGGUUGUAAAGUACUUUCAGCGGGGAGGCGUUACCCGCAGAAGAAGCACCGGCUAACUCCGUGACAGCCGCCGCGGUAAUUC
rnacentral:rRNA from 1 species